AACUCCAGCCUGGGCGACAGAGCCAGACUCUGUCUAAAAAAAAGCUUGAUGGUGCCCAUCUCAUGUCAGCCAGGAACAAAGCAAUCCCUUGUUUAUCCCAGCUUGGCUUCUGGUCUAUGCCCAUGCCUGGUUUAUGCUUUGGACACAUAG
rnacentral:snoRNA from 1 species